rnacentral:tRNA from 1 species
GCACCCGUAGCUCAAUUGGAUAGAGUAGCGGACUUCGAAUCCGUUGGUUGUGAGUUCGAAUCUCGUCGGGUGCACCA